UGAGAAAAUACCCCGAGUCACGGCUGCAAGCAGGCAUCAGCCAGGAGGGCUUGGAUCAGCUCCUGCAAACUGCCCUGGUGUUGCUGCGCUGCGUGGUGCCACCAGCUCCGGCAGCCUGGCAGCUCCCUGCUUCUCUCUUGCCCUUCUUUUUCUCUCCCGUGGAAGUCCUGGAAACCUUUGUGAAGCCCUGGGCCCUGAGCACUUUGGAGAAAUGUAAAAACCAUAAUCGUAAGGGGAGCGUCAGAGACACGUUCCGUGCUUAGUUAUCAGAUGGGUGGAGGUGACGCUGGGCUUGAAGGGAAGGCAGCGUGUGAGUGCUGGUGCAGCGUCGUUCAGGCCCGUGCUGUGCUUCCAGGAGCUGGGAGGGACGCGCGCUGCAGUUGCUCUGUUCUUUGAGCUUCGCUUUCAGCCCCCAAACCUGCGGUGAUCUCCAUGCUGGAGGGAGGGGAAGAGCCGUGCAUGCCAGAUGUGCGUGGCCUGGAGGAGCUGGCGGGAGAGCUCAGCCCAGGUGAUGGGAUCGUGACUGUAAAGGACGACCUGCAGAAGCGUGGCGAGGCUGAAGGGCAGCGGGGCAGCGCCUCGGUGGGACAAAUCACUGGGGAUGGGCAGGGUGUCCCGGAGCAAGGAGAGCACCUGGAGAAGCAAGAGGGAAACCAGCAGGGAGAGAGAGCGGGGCAGGCCCUGGGCUGCAGCACGGGUGAAAAGCAGCGUGCGGAUCCAAGGAGCAAGGAGAAAAGGCAGAAGCCGAGCGCCGAGAGCGGGAAGAGGCUGAGGAGGAAUUGCAGCCUGGUGAAGCACCGCUGCGUGCUCUCGGUGAAGCGACUGUACAAGUGCUCGGAGUGCGCCCAAAGCUUCAAGUGGAAAUGCAACCUGGCCUGCCACCAGCGCAUCCACACGAGGGAGAGGCCCUUCCAGUGCCCCGAGUGCCCCAGGAGGUUCAAAACCAAUUCCCACCUCACCUGCCACCGGCGCAGCCACGCGGGACAGCGGCCCAUUAAGUACUGCGAGUGCGGCAAGAGCUUCCAGUACAGCUCCGUCCUGAAGCGGCACCAGCGCGUCCACACCGGGGAGAGGCCCUUCCAGUGCCCGGAGUGUGCCAAGAGCUUCAAGAACAAUUCCCACCUCACCUGCCACCAGCGCAUCCACACGGGGGAGAGGCCCUUCCAGUGCCGCGCGUGCGGCCAGAGCUUCAAGUACAGCUUCGUGCUGAAGCGGCACCAGCGCAUGCACGCGGCGGAGCGAGCCUUCAAGUGCCCCGAGUGCGGGAAGGGCUUCCAGUUGGGUGGGGAAUUGCAGCGCCACGAGCGCGUCCACACGGGAGAGAGGCCCUUCCAGUGCCCGGAGUGUGGGACGGGCUUCAAGUGCAGCUUUGUGCUGAAGCGGCACCAGCGCAUCCACAGAGAGAGACCCUGUAAGCGCUGAGUGUGGCAGGAGUUUUCAGUGCACUCUGUACCUCCUCUGCCACCCGUGCAUCCACACCGGGUGUGAACGUUGCGAGUGCUCGCUGCUUCCUCCGCCGGGUGGAACCGUGCUUUAACGCGGAGCAGCCAGCAGGGGGCGCUCGCUGUCAAGAUGUGUUCCAUGGUGUGCAAUGGGAACCGUGCUUUAACGCGGUGCCGCCAGCAGGGGGCGCUCGCUGCUAAGAAGAUGUGUUCCAUGGUGUGCAAUGGGAGCCGUGCUUUACCGCGGUGCCGCCAGCAGGGGNCUGCUAAGAAGAUGUGUUCCAUGGUGUGCAAUGGGAGCCGUGCUUUACCGCGGUGCCGCCAGCAGGGGGCGCUCGCUGCUAAGAAGAUGUGUUCCCGUGCGUGUGAACUGGGAGGCAGCGCAGGGAGCCCAGCAGGGAAUGGUGCGUGUGGCUGAGAGCAGGGAAAUACAAACCCCGUCCAGGUUCGGGUGCCCGGCCGCGGUUGCAGGACAGUUCCAGCCCCUCCUGUUCCAAUCCCCACUGAGGUUAUCACUGAUGACUUCUGCUUUCCUGACUGCUCCUCUUCACCCCUCCAUUCACUUUUGGAGAAUUGCUGCUUGCUGGCACUGUCCUGCUGCCACCAAGCCUAGUCAGCCCAGCAGCGACGCAGAGAUUUCAAGUUCCCAACGUGAAAUCCUGCUUCAAAACCCCCUGGAUUAGCCAGCCUGCUUCCGUGAAUCCUGACCCCCAUGCGCCCAGCAGGUGGUGGUGUGUGUGUCACGCUUGAGGGUCACUCCAGUGUUCAGACCAGCCUUGCAAGUUCAACUUGGUUUGCUCUGCUCCUCACACGCCUGCUCACUGCAUCCCUUGUGUGGCAAGGGGCCUUUCUGUGGGCUGUAAAAGGGGAAAGGGAAGGAUCCUAGAACGAAUCAUAGAAUGGCCCAGGUUGAGCAGCACCUCCAAGCUCAGACGGGGCCUCCCUGGAGCCGAGCAGAGGGGGACAAUCCCCUCCCUGUCCCUGCUGCCCACUCCUCCUUUCACGCAGCCCACAACGCAGUUGGCCUUCGGGGCUGCGGCACACGCUGCUGGCUCACGUCCGGCUUCUCAUGCACCAGAGCAUGGUGAGGUGGAUUGUGAACUGGCAGAGCUCGGAGGGUUGUGAUUCUGGGUGCAGAGUCUGGUUGGAGGCCUGCAGCUAGCGGGGUUCCGCAGGGGUCGGGGCUGGGUCCAAUCUUGUUCAGCUUCAUCAGGGAGCUGGAUGAAGGGAUAGAGAGCAGCCUCACCAAGUACAAAGCUGGGAGGAGCGGCUGACGGAGCAGAAGUCUGUGCUGCCAUUCAACGAGCCGUGAGCAGACCGCUCAGCUGGGCAGAGCAGAACGCGAUGAAUUUCAACAGGGACAAGAAUAGGGUCCCGCAGCCGGGGAGGACAAAUCAGCUGCGUCGGUACCGGGAGGUAAAUGCUCUCUUCUCCCAGAGCCUCGGCACAAGUUCCCCGGUCAGACACAACAGUCUCCUUCCCCAUUGGCUCGUCCUACAGCACACGGGGAUGGCUCAUUCCUGUGCUUUGAAGAAUUCCUUCUUGAGCAAGUCCAGCCUUCCAGGAGCCCUUUACCCUUCAGGACUGGCACCCAAGGGCCCCUCCUGUUGUGGUUUAACCUGGCAGGGGGCUCAGCAGCACCCACUUGUUUGCUCCCUCCCUCUCUCCCUUCCCAGUGGGAUUGGGUGGAAUAACAAACAAAGCAAAGUAGAA